AGGGACAAUAAGAAUCUGGACCGAAUCGGACAGGGAUUACUGAUUUGAUAUUGUGGAGAGAUGUCGCGAAAUCGACACUCUGGUUUGGUGUAGGGUCUCUCUGCUUCUUGUCUUCUUGCUUUGCUCAAGGAAUCAGCUUCAGCAUUUUCUCUGCAAUUUGCCAACUGGGGCUUCUCUUGUUGGGGUUAUCUUUCUUCUCCAAUUCCAUCUGUCAAAGGAAUAAUAUUGAGAAGAGGCGUGACAUCCAGUUAAAAGAAGAUGACAUCUUGAGAGUGGCUAGAUUGAUACUUCCUGCUGCUAAUCUCGCAAUUUCAAAGAGGCGAGAGCUUUUCUCGGGAGAGCCAUCCAUGACCCUAAAAGUACGUCGUGGUGGUGGGCUAGUAUUC